rnacentral:rRNA from 1 species
CCCUUAGAUGUUCUGGGCUGCACGCGCGCUACACUGAUGCGCUCAACGAGUUUAUGACCUUGCCCGGAAGGGUUGGGUAAUCUUUUCAAAACGCAUCGUGAUGGGGAUAGAGAUUUGCAAUUUUCUCUCUUGAACGAGGAAUUCCCAGUAAGUGCGAGUCAUCAGCUCGCGUUGAUUACGUCCCUGCCCUUUGUACACACCGCCCGUCGCUACUACCGAUUGGGAAAAUUUUAGAGAGUCCUGGACUGAUGAUUGUUCGGCUUCACGGCCUUACUUUCGUCGGGAAAGAAUUCGAUAAUAUUUUUCUAGAGGAAGUAAAAGUCGUAACA